CAUUCAUGGAAAUAUUCUGAAAAGAUUAAUUUCUGGCAUACAGUUUUCAAUUCAGUUUUUUGUUUAGCAUAUUUGUAAUAGAUUUUGAGCCUACUCUAAAAAAUGUUGGCAUUGAGAACUAGGUAGUAUUUAAUGAAAAUCAUGAUUUAAUAGCAUGUUUUAUGUGGUUUGUUUCUUUUUAUGUUUACUUAAUUUUUUUAAGGAUUUUAUUCAUUCACGAGAGACACAGAGAGUGAGAGACGCAAAGACAUAAGCAGAGAGAGAAGCAGGCUCCCUGCAAGGAACCUGAUGCGGGACUCGAUCCUGGACCCGGGAUCCUGCCCUGAGCCAAAGACAGAUGCUCAACCAUGGAGCCACCCAGGCGUCCUGGCUUGUUUCUUUUUAAUUUAGAGUAGUACAGUUAUAUUUGAGAUCUUCAUUACAUUUUAUUUACCAGAACUCAAUGUUCUUUCUUAACUUGGAAACUAAGGGCUUUUCCAAUUCUUAAACGCCUGGCAGAAGUAGAAUAGCUGGAUGAGAACCUGGGAAGAGAAAUUAUGGAGGAUGUGGCGAAAAAGUGGGAGGAGAAUAUGGACAUUUUGGCAGCACCAAACUUGAAGAGAUGACAGAGGGUAUAGCAUUAAAGUAACCAUGCAGAAUUGGAAAUACAUGACUUAGCGCUUCCCCUGCCCCAGGAAAUUUCAAGUAUACUGGCACGUGCUCAGUGUCUCCAGAGGUGUCUGAGUGAUUGGCCUAUGUUCUAGGCUUUAUCCUAAUCAGGAAGAUGCUUCCACCCUGUUGGUUCUCCUUGACGUCAUUAGGGAUACAAAUGUGCGAUGCAAAUUUAUUGAAUGAACUAAGCUAAUGAAUAAAUACAUAAGCCUUUAAUAUCAGCCCCCUAUUUAUUUGUCUUUAAAGUUCAUAUCAAUACAUGCUCCUAGAUUCUUAUUUCAUCUAAUGGGAUAGAAUCUACUACUAAUGUUCUUUGUUUUGAUGCUCAAAUGAUUUGCUUUGCCCUGUAGGGGCUCCUUCAAGAUGGUUUGCUUAUCCUUUUGAAACAUGCCUUUGAUUAUUUGAAUACUUUUUUGCUUCCUUAUAUAACAAAAUAUUACAAUUUUAUCUUGCUCUUUCUCUUCCUCAGUUCUAGAAUUUGCCUUUCCCUCCCCCCCAGGGAACCCUAUUCCUUUUAGUGGAGAAUCAUAUUUAGAAACCAAGAUAUGAAAUUUUGGCUUAAUUGUUGUCAUUAGUGGGUUAUUAUUUCUAAGCCCUUUCAGUGGGCAGAACUAGGAAAUGUAUAUAGAGGCAUUUCAAGUAUAUUUAUAUAUAUUAACAACACAUAUAUUAAAAAAUUAUUUCAAACUGAUACUUCCAAUUAACAUCACAAGUCCCUUUACUUUUUAUCAGAAGAGAGAAAUCAUUGGCUUAACAUGAACAAAACACUAGCAUUUGGGAGAUUUUUUACAGAGAGAAAGAGAGAGCAAGAAGGCACAACUAGGGGAAAGGGCAGAGAGAGGGAGAAGGAGACUGCCCGCUGAACAGGGAGCCUGACUCAGGUCUCAAUACCAAGACCCCAGGAUCAUGACCUGAGCUGAAGGUGGAUGCUUAACCAACUGAGCCAUCCAGGCACCCCAAAAUAAUAGCAUUUUUGAAAGAACAGUAUUUGUUACCUAUAUAAAAUGGGCCUGGAAAGUAAUAAUAUUGAUCUCAUACAAAGCCCACUGAAAUAUGUUUCAUUAAUAUUUAAACAUAAUGUAUAUUAGAAUCUUAGAUAUCAGAGGGAGAGGGAGACAUUUUCAAAUUCUGAUCUAGAUGUUAUACAGUAGACUUGCAGUGUUGUUCUGGAUCUGUGUUAGAAUAGAAAAAGAGAUCGUGGGGCAAAAACUUGUCUUAAUCCUUCAAAUGUUGUUAACCACAUAGAGAAAGCAUAUUAAGCAUACAUUACACCCAGAAUCUUGAAAUGAAUGCAUAUUUAUGAGAGGAAUAUAAACAAACAAGGAAGUGGUACAGUGAGACACUGACAUAAUGCACUACCUACUUGGGAAAAAUACUUUUUUUCUCUUUGGAUAAAUACAGAUACAAUACUAGCCAUUCCACUUAGCAGUAGCUUGACUACCAACAUGAAUAACUUGUUCAGAGAUGAAGAGGAGGAGUUGUGAACAUCUAAACAUUAGGAUUUGCAUCAUAAUAGUGCUAGGACUACAUAUUCUAACAGAAUUUUCUCCCAGCAUGUCUUGGAGAACUUUUAUCCAAUGGUCUGUGUCUCCCCUACUAGUUUGAAAACCAAAGCCUCUCUCCUUGUUUUACUAAUCCCAAAGAUUAAUUCAGUUGAAGUCCAUGAUUUUUCUUUACUGGUUCCUUUGCUUUAUCUAGAAAAAUAAAAUGUAAAAAAUAUAAUUUGGCAGGUUGAAAUGUGUUUUCUGUAGUAUAGUAAAACAGUUCAUUUUAAUACUGCAUCAUAUAUGCACUUGCUAAACAUUGCAUUGUAAUGAAUUAAUGACCAGAAAAUAAUGUAAAUACAUGUGUAUAUAUUUGUGUAAUAUGUGUUAGCUUCAGAAAUCAUUUUUUAAAAGUGAAUACCUAAGGGGCACCUGGGUAGCUCAGUCGGUUAAGUGUCUGACUCUUGAGCUCAGCUUGGGUCUUGACCUCAAGGUCACUGAGUUCAAGCCCCACUGAGUUAAAAAAAAAAAAAGGAAGACCUGAAGAAGCUAUGACUAUAAUUUAAAACAUGUUUUGACCAGUGUUAGAAGGAAAAAUUAAUUAACAACGAUUAAGUAGUUAUAUGUGAUAUACACCAUGUGUAUUGCAUCUUAUUUAAUUAUCAAACAAUAUAUUUGCUAAAGCUGCCAUUCCCCCAUUUUAUGGAAGAAGAAACUGAGAUUACAUACUUCAUUAAACUUGGUCAACUUCUUGUAACUAAUACUAGUGCUUGGAUCAAGCCACAUAUUUUUGACUCUAGACCCUGUAUUCUCUUGAGGGCAUCUCAUAAAGCUUUUCACUGCCCCUGCCCAAAAACAACUUUUGCUAAAUUGAUUCUUUGCUUCUUGAUCUGUAAAAGAAGGAUGUUGGCCUCUCUUAGUGAUCUCCAUGUUUUUAAUAAGCAAUAAAUAACAUUCACCACACAUAAUAGUUUCUCUGUUCUAUAUUCAUUAUUGCAAAACAACUAUGGCUCAGUGAUGCUUUGAACUCAGUUUCAAUUUUAUAAUUUAAAACACAUUUGUAUACAUAUGAAAAUACCAGUUGUGACAAGAGAAUAGAAAGCUUUGUUUUGAAAGUAAUUUGUAACUGACAGUUGACCAUAGACAUAUUGCAAAGGUGGGGGCCACAUACAGGGGUAAAAGUUGGCCUGGAGUUAUUUUUUUCUAUUUCUUUCUCUUGUAAAACAGUUGUAGCCGUUACACAUUCUUAUUGAAGUAGAAUUAACAUACAGUGUUACAUUCAUUUCAGAUGUACUAUAUGAUGAUUCAGCAAUUCUGUACAUUACUCAGUGCUUAUCAUGAUAAAUGUACUCUUAAUCCCUCUCAUCUAUUUCACCCAUUCCCCUUCUCUACCUCCCCUCUAGUAACCACUAGUUUGUUCUUGUAUUUAAGAGUUUGGUUUUUUGUUUGUCUUUUUUUAUUUGUUUGUGAUUCAACAAUUUUAUAGACUACUUAGUGCUCAUCACAAUAAAUGUGCUUUUUUUCACCCAUUCCCAACCCACCUCUGUAACUACCAAUUUUUUCCUAUAUUUAAGAGUCUGGCUUUCUUUUUUGGGGGGAGGUCUCUUCUUUUUUCUUUGUUCAUUUGUUUUGUUUCUUAAAUUCUACAUAUGAGUGAAAUCACAUGGUAUUUGUCUUCUUCUGAUUUAUUUCACUUAGCAUUGUAUCCUCUAGGUCCAUCCAUGUUGUUGCAGAUGGCGAGAUCUCGCUUAUUUUUAUGUUCCUCCACAUUAUAUUUAUCCAUUCAUUAUGGAUGGACACUUGGGUUGCUUCUGUAUCUUGGCUAUUGUAAAUAAUGCUGUAAUAAACAUAAGGGUGCCUGAAGUCAUCUUAAAUGAACUCUAUCCAAAAGGACUGCCUAAUAAGCAAUGGGAUUCCAAAAGAGAGUCUAUGAAGACAUGAACCUGCUGAGAACCAAAUCACAGUGAACUGUAGGUGAGAGAUGCCUACCAAUAAAUGGAGAGAGAAGUAAAUAGUCUGAGGAAUCCUGCAAGGAACUGAAACACUGUGCAAGGGGGGGGGAACAAGCCCCAGCUUUGAUACCUGUCAAACUAGACAGCAAUGAUGGUGACCAAUAAAAGUACCAGCAGGCAGGAGUUUUCCUACACCCUCAUCUCUCCACCAUCUUGAACCCUGUUGUGAUCAGAAUCAGUGCAAGUUAACAACUGAUACAAAGAAAGACAAGUUGGGAAAAUAGAGGAAUAUCUAUCCAAGCCACUCUGUAUACUGCAGGCCUGCCUUCUGUUGCAUGACUGAUUAGCCUACAACACAACUGAAGAGGGAGAAGCCAUCAUGCCUCUAUGAUUAGACAAGUCUGAAGAUAAAAGCUUCACUGUGAGGAUAAUGGAACAAAGUGCUAGAAUGGGCCUGCACUCCCUUGCCUUAGACUUGUGGAAGGAAAAUAAAAUGCUGUUACAAGUUUAAUCCACAGAGAUGGGCUUCUGUUUCCUGCAUUUCAAUACAUCACAGUUCAUAAAUUUAUAUAAUUGGCAAAAGUAUCCAUUUUAAAGAUUAACAGAUACCUAACUCUCAGUUAAAUCUCAGAAAAAUAGAUUUUUAAUCCGUUGUGAUUUUGAAAUUGAUCUCUCAGUCUUUCAGCCAUCAAACUAUUAAAUACAUUUAAACAUUGUUA